rnacentral:lncRNA from 1 species
AUGGCCGCCCCCACCCCCAAAAUUAUAGGGGCUGCUUUAAAGCACCGUGCUGGGACACCCCCAACGCUGGGUGCUCCUGGGAGGGAACCUCAAAGACAUCCCAGGGGUGUCCCAAAAGCCGGGGGGGCACCAAAGCACACUAGGGAUGGCUGUGGGCACCCCAGAGCCCCCCCCGAGGGGGUCCCUAAAGCACAGGCACUGCUGGGGGCGCCACACCAAAGCCACCCUGGGGGAAACCCUAAAGGAAGGAGCACCCCAAAGCCAUAUGGGGGGGGACCCCAAAAGCACAGGCACUGCCGGGGCGGUCCCAAAACCAUUCCGGGAAAUCCCCCAAACCACGGGGGGGCUCCCCAAAACCCCGGGAGCGCUCCCCCAAAUCCCGGGGUCUCGCUGCGGGGCGCACCCCAAAUCCAUGGCGGGGGUGAAGCAGCACGGGGGCAUCCCAAACCCUUCCCGGAUCCCCCCCCCAGGGCCCGGGGGCACUCACAUGUCCUUGGCGGGCAGGUCCCUGCCCUCCACGAUGCGCACGGCCAGGGCGCUGCGCAGCGCCAUGGGGGCGGCGGCACCGCGCGGACACGGCGGGACUCGAACCCGCGGCCCCUCCGCACGCAGCACAUGUGCCGGCCGGCACCGCGGGCAGCCAAUCAGAGCGCGGGGCGGGGACAGGGGGCGGGGCCUGCGGGGAGGUGGGCGGGGCCUGGGAGGAGGUGGGCGGGGCCUGUGGGGUGUGGGCGGGGCGAGGCGCGCAGGGGGGCGGGGCCCAACCCCCGGGUUUCGCCUGGGUUGGGGUUUUCCUUUUUUUUCCCUUUUUUUCUUUUUUUCUUUCUUUCCUUUGUUUGUUCUUUCCCUUUCUUUCCUUUUUUUCCAUUCCCCCCUCUUUUCCCCCGUUUUUUUCACUUUUUUCCUCUUUUCCCUCUUUUUUCCCUUUCUUUCCUUUUUUCCCCCUUUUCCCCCCUUUUCUUUUUCCCAUUCUUCCCCUCUUUUACUUUUCCUUUUUUCCCCUUCUUUUCUUUUCCCCCUUCCCUUCUUUCAUUUUUUCCCUUUUUUCCUUUUCUUUCUUUUUUAUUUUCUUUCCCUCUUUUCCCCCUUUUAUUUUUCCUUUUUUUCCCCAUCUUUUCUUUUCCCCCUUCCUUUCUUUAUUUUUUUUUCCUCUCCUUUUCUUUCUAUUUUCUUUCCUUUUUUUCCCCCUUUUCUUUUUCCCUCCUUUAUUUUUCCUUUUUUUCCCCUCUUUUCUUUUCCCCUUUCCCUUCUUUCAUUUUUCCCCUUUUUUCCUUUUAUUUCUUUCUUUCUUUUUCUUUUUUCUUUUUUUAUUUUUCUUUCCCUUUUCCCCUUUGUUCUUCCUUUUUUUUUCCUUUUUUUUCCUUUUUUUUUUUUGGCAGGUUGGGGCUGUGCCCGUGGUGUCACGAGGGGGUAGGCUCGGUGCACUGA